GAAAUUGAUAGCUAACUGGUAGAGUGCAUGCUUUGUAUGUAUGAUGUCCUGGGUUCAAUCCCCAGCCGUUGCA